GUCUGGGAAACGUGCCUGAUGAGGGGGAUAACUACUGGAAACGGUAGCUAAUACCGCAUAACGUCGCAAGACCAAAGAGGGGGACCCUCGGGCCUCUUGCCAUCGGAUGUGCCCAGAUGGGAUUAGCUUGUUGGUGGGGUAACGGCUCACCAAGGCGACGAUCCCUAGCUGGUCUGAGAGGAUGACCAGCCACACUGGAACUGAGACACGGUCCAGACUCCUACGGGAGGCAGCAUG
rnacentral:rRNA from 1 species